CGGACGGGUGAGUAACGCGUGGGUAACCUGCAUCAUACAGGGGGAUAACAGUUAGAAAUGACUGCUAAUACCGCAUAAGCGCACAGUACCACAUGGUACGGUGUGAAAAACUCCGGUGGUAUGAGAUGGACCCGCGUCUGAUUAGCUGGUUGGUGGGGUAACGGCCCACCAAGGCGACGAUCAGUAGCCGACCUGAGAGGGUGAUCGGCCACAUUGGGACUGAGACACGGCCCAA
rnacentral:rRNA from 1 species